UACGCUUAUGUGUAAUGUUUGUUUAUCGGAAUAUUUACUUGUUUAGUUUGAAUAAAGCUUUGGUGUGGUGAUUUUGUUUGCUAUUUGUGCACUAGAUUUAAUUGGUUCAUAAUUCACUCAUAUUAAAAUGUGCAAGUGCUUAGCGGGAAAUGUGGCAUGUUGCUGCUUCAGUUGCGCUCUGAGUGUACUUAUAUCAAUAAUAAGUGCAUUUUUUGUCGUCUUCCUAAUAGUUGGUGUUGUAGUAUAUUUUGUUUAUUACCAUGAACAUGAAGAUGAUACAGCUAAUAAAAUUAAGGAAGAGCUGAAAGGAGGAUUUGAAAGUGGCCUCGACAAAAUUAAGGACGCUUUGUCUACAAAAUAGAAUUGAAAUUACAUCUUUCACAAUGUAUUCCAAAUUACCAACAACAAAAGGAUUAUUUCACCUAUAACUUACAUGGGAAACUAGGCAACGAUUAAGGAUAAGCUCAGUCUCACAUUUAAUAUAAGUUAUAGAGGAGAAGAUCACAUACUUGAAUAUUAAUUCUAAAUUACCAUCACACUAACUUCUUUGAACACAAUAUUUACUUAUCUUCAACAUAUACUUAUGGAAACUCUUGGAAAAUGUUAAAUUACAUUGCUUAAUAGCAAUUCAUAUUUAUAUAUAUAUGUAUUUAAGAUAUAUUUUGAAACAAUACUUUUAUCUUUAAUAGUACACAUGUGUGUUAAAAUAAUAUUAUUUUCUACAUAAGACGAUAUUUUAGUAUUAAAAUACUUUCAUUCAAUUUUUACUGAAAAGGUUUAUCUGUAGUAUACUCUCAUCAACAUUAUUACUGCAUUUAUUUAUUUAGCAGCAACGGCAAUCGUCUCGAAAAAAGUAAUGCACACAUAUAUCUAAUUCACAUUGCUAAUUCAUUAUUAUUGCUAUUAUUCGUUUUUAAAAAACGUUGGGAAUGACAUUUGUAGUUCAUAAAAUACGAGAUGUAUUUAUAAUAAAGUGUGUGGUAGUACUUUUAUUUGACUAGAAAACUGGCUUCAAAAUAUAUUUAUGUUUCUUUCCAUGUUCAGUUCACAAAAGUGAGAGCAGGAGAAUUACGAUAUUUACCUUGUAUUUAUUUUUGCUUUUGCGUAAGAAUGGUCAGAAUCAUAGCAAAUAAUUUGGCUUUUAAAAAUACACAAGCUAUCUGUUUCACUAUAUUUGCACGAAAAUCGCAAAUUCUCCGAAUUUUCACUUUUAAUAAUAGAAAAUCGUAUCACUACAAACAAAAUUUUUUUUUUUUAAUUUUGGCAAACAAAAAAACAACAUAAAAAUUCUGGACUUCAUAUAAACAGAUUUUUUUUUGGAAACUACAAGACAAAUAAGAAAAAUCUUCAAAGGGGAUGGAAAUGUAGGAAACUUUUGGAAAUAGCUGGCCCAAUGACUAAUUGUAUUGAAUUUAUCAUUUUUAUCAGAGUGAAAAUAAACUAAAAUUAAUAGACUUUAUUGUAAUAGAAAAGUUAACACUCCACAAUAUACUUAUAAAUAUGUGUGUUUUCAUCCCUUUUUAUAAAUUCAUUAUUAUAAUAUUUAUUACAACUGUGUACUGAUAUACAGCAUGUUUAUUGUAUUUUAAUUAAUUGGAUAUUCGGUUUUUUUUAAAGAGAGCAUAACAGAGAAGAGUGAAUUAAAUUUCUUUUAAACGUUGCUUCAUGCAUUCACCGCCUUAGACUAGUGUGUUAUUAUGAUCCAUUUAAAUGUUAAGUCGCCAUAAUACAAAUUGUGAAUAACAAAGCAUUUAGAGCGUAUGUAUGUAAUGCUGAAUCUAUGUAAAAUCUACAUAUAUAGUAUAUGAAAAUAAUAUGCAUUUAUAUAUUUUCAAUGUUCCUUUUAAAACUAUGGUACUUCCCCAAUUUUCAUACGAUUGAUUAUUAACAACAUUUUAACAGUAAAAAUUAAUUAUUUUAUAUAUGUAUGCAAUUUGUCGAAUAAAACGUAAAGCUUUUAAAUGGUAAAGAUGUUUAUGCUAUAUUAAUCAAGGGUGUUACAGGUUCAUAUUGUUGUUGAAAUCAGAAUUGAAACCGACAAAAUUUUUUUGAAGGGGUGACGGCAUCGUGUCGAUUUUAGGUGUUACAGAAACCGAAAGUCAUGAACAUUGGAUUCUACAACCAGCAAUGCCUGGAAUACGGUACUUGAUGUAGAAAUGGUCACGAACUCUCCUUUUCGUUGCCGUUCAUUCCCAAAAUUAUCCAACGUGGGCAAUUCAAACGUUCAAAAAUCUUUAGUAUAUCUGUUAUAACCGCCGAAACUGUAGGUCGCACUAAGAAGAUAUUUGAGUCCCACAGACCGUUAAUAGGAACUCUCUGCCAAAAACCACAGUGUGGCUGCAAGUUGGAGCACAGGCUUCUUUUUUAGGACGCAACUGCUCUGUGAAUCUACAUUCAAACAAAUUUUGUAUCAGCAAAUGUAAAAGUAGCAUACAAAUUGCACUUGCAUCGACUCUAGCAGCUCCAGCGGAUUGCUCUUAUCCCUUACCAUUUUGCGCUUUAUUUUCUAGAUGGCUUCUCCAAAUCCUUCUAUCAUCAAAAGUUGACUGUCGAAGCCAUUUUAUCAUUAGUUAAUACUCACAAUUUGUUAAAAUUAGUACAAUAAAUUAAAUUGAAAUUGCAAAAAAAAAAACUGGGAAUUUUUGCACAAGUCUGUUGACAGCUGAUUCGAAUAUCGGUUUUGUUUAUCUACGAAGAAAAGCAAAAUCAAGUCCGUUUCAUAACACCAUUUCAAACGGAUGUUGAUUUGCAUUUCCGAUAAAUAAGCGAUUCUGUGUCGGCUUUUAUAACACUCCUGAAUGUUUGGAGGAAAGUGCAUUGGCUUAAACAAAGCUUACGCUAUUAUUCGUUCUCUUUUUCCCAGUUGGAAGUACCAAGCGAAAUUAUGUCGCUUUACACGAAGUGGAAGUCUCCCUAUUCCUCUGCCUGCUGGAUUGGUUGUAUCCAUUCAAGCGUCAUGACCUAACCAGCAUAGCCACAGUGCAGGAAUGAUGCACGAUUUGUGGAUUGUGGUUUUUGUUCAAUGAGAGAGGGCUUUAUUUUUCAAAUCCCUACUCAGCACAAAGUGCCAGUUCCUACAGCUGUUUAAAUGAAUUGCCUAACGGCCGCACAGCCCUUUAAAAUUACUUAAACUUGCUACAAAAAGUAGUCGAAAAUUAUCUCGAACGGAACAAAGUUUUUAAAAAUUCGCAAAGAUGUUGUAGUAUAUCACAUAUUAUGCAAUGUUUCAAUUUUUAUAAUUAAAAGAAGUUUCAUAAAAAAAAUUGUUUUAAAUGCCCCUACACCCCUAUACUUUACUGUAUUUGAGGUGCUAUUUUUUGUAUCUUUAUUAGCUAUUAUCUACUAACCGAAAUUAUUAUUGGCGGCCGCACUAGCCAAGUGGUUAGCAUUGCGUACAGCCAUUCGGAAGGCUCGGGUUAAAAUUC